rnacentral:rRNA from 1 species
CUCCCGAAGGUUAAGCUAACCACUUCUGGUGCAGUCCACUCCCAUGGUGUGACGGGCGGUGUGUACAAGGCCCGGGAACGUAUUCACCGUGACAUUCUGAUUCACGAUUACUAGCGAUUCCGACUUCACGGAGUCGAGUUGCAGACUCCGAUCCGAACUGAGACCGGUUUUCUGGGAUUAGCGCCACCUCGCGGCUUAGCAACCCUCUGUACCGGCCAUUGUAGCACGUGUGUAGCCCUACUCGUAAGGGCCAUGAUGACUUGACGUCAUCCCCACCUUCCUCCGGUUUGUCACCGGCAGUCUCCUUAGAGUUCCCGACAUUACUCGCUGGCAAAUAAGGAUAGGGGUUGCGCUCGUUACGGGACUUAACCCAACAUUUCACAACACGAGCUGACGACAGCCAUGCAGCACCUGUCACUGCGUUCCCGAAGGCACUAAGGUAUCUCUACCAAAUUCGCAGGAUGUCAAGAGUAGGUAAGGUUCUUCGCGUUGCAUCGAAUUAAACCACAUGCUCCACCGCUUGUGCGGGCCCCCGUCAAUUCAUUUGAGUUUUAACCUUGCGGCCGUACUCCCCAGGCGGUCGACUUAUUGCGUUAACUGCGCCACAAAGAUCGCUAGGAUCCCAACGGCUAGUCGACAUCGUUUACGGCAUGGACUACCAGGGUAUCUAAUCCUGUUUGCUACCCAUGCUUUCGCACCUCAGCGUCAGUGUCAGUCCAGAAGGCCGCCUUCGCCACUGGUAUUCCUCCCGAUAUCUACGCAUUUCACCGCUACACCGGGAAUUCUACCUUCCUCUCCUGCACUCUAGCCUAACAGUUCCGGAUGCCGUUCCCAGGUUGAGCCCAGGGCUUUCACAACCGGCUGAUUAAGCCGCCUACGCGCGCUUUACGCCCAGUAAUUCCGAUUAACGCUCGCACCCUCCGUAUUACCGCGGCUGCUGGCACGGAGUUAGCCGGUGCUUCUUCUGUGAGUGAUGUCUUUCCUUCAGGGUAUUAACCCAAAGGCAUUCUUCCUCACUGAAAGUGCUUUACAACCCGAAGGCCUUCUUCACACACGCGGCAUGGCUGGAUCAGGCUUCCGCCCAUUGUCCAAUAUUCCCCACUGCUGCCUCCCGUAGGAGUUCGGGCCGUGUUCAGUCCCGAUGUGGCUGAUCAUCCUCUCAGACCAGCUACGGAUCGUCGCCUUGGUGGGCCAUUACCCCACCAACUAGCUACUCCGGCAUGGGCUCAUCCGAUAGCGCAAGGUCCGAAGAUCCCCUGCUUUCUCCCGUAGGACGUAUGCGGUAUUAGCUUGGGUUUCCCCAAGUUAUCCCCCACUAUCGGGCAGAUUCCCAUGCAUUACUCACCCGUCCGCCGCUCGACGCCUGGAAGCAAGCUUCCAUCG